AGAAGAUUCCGGUUUGUUGCGUCUUUCCUGGCCGGUCGCGAACGCGUGUAAGAGAUUGAAGCAGAGCAAAUGUUAACUACUUGAGUCUGGACUUCACUUGACGGGACUGGGAAACUAAGGGAUAAUUUGAAGCUGGUGAAAGUUAUGAAAAUUAUUUUCUGGCUUGAAGACCUCCCUGAGGGUUGGGUUCGGCAGGUAAAACUUGCUGGGCAAGCCCGAUGACCUCGAUCUGAUCUCUGUAACCGGUGGAAAAGCCAGAUGCCGCGGUACAUAUCUGUAAUGGCAGCACUCUUACGGUGAGAUGCAAGGCGAAGACAAAGAAUAAUCUGGAAGGAGUGAGUGGGCCAGCUUGCCUGUGUACCCAAGAGGGCAGAAACACGAGAAGCUGUGGCUCAGUGAGGUGAAGGCACUGUCCUUUUGGCGUGGUCAGCUGCUCAGGAAACAGAACAAGAAGUGGUCUUCUGGAAUCAAAUGAUGAGGGGAACAUCAUGGUGAGGUUAAAGCCUGGUGGGGAGGAGAUAUGCUGAGAAUAGUUUUCUUCUUCAUGGCCAUGAGUGUCAAGUCAGAGCCCCGCCUGUCUUACUGGUGAUGCAGAUGAUGGACAGCCGUCAGAUGGGACAGGGACAACCAGCGAAGUAGAAAGCCAGCUGGCCUAUUUCCUUUCUGACCCACUCAGAGCCCUGUGAGCUGAAGUCUUUUGGAAAUUCUGCAGACUGAUUGAUCAUCUAGCACUUCCCGAAGUGGAGAGUUGGAACAUUGCAGAUAGAGAGCCAAAAUUAUCAUGGGCUAUCUUUAGCCCUUCUUCUGACCGUUUAUGAGCAAUGUCUGUUACGGACCUAACAUCUUUUCCACAUUCAUGUAAGACCUUUUCAAAUGUAUUGAUUUAGCAUAUCAUUGGCUUCUACAAACAUAAAGACCGAGGACAUCAUUGGAAGAUAUAGAAAGCUGCUACCAGAGGCUUCUUUCCUUCUCUGUGACUGUCCUGCUGCCCGACCAACACGUAGAUCUUGUGACUUUGUUCUGUGACUACUUCCACAGUGGAACAUGUCAUUCAGAACAAUCUGAAUCUGUAUUCCCAGGUCAUGGUCCCACAUAAUUGGCUCAGGAAAAAUGACCUCUUACUUCCUUUGCAGUGAGAGCGGUGUUUUGCCCUGACAGGGAUGCAAUUUCCUUUCCACUCCCUAGCCUUUAAAAAACCAUACAAGAGAUUAAACCUAGGUCUUCGUGUGUCUGAGGCAUGUGCUCUACCACUGAGCCAAAGGUUCUAGAAAGUUGAUUCCCCAGUACAGACCUGGGGGCCAGUGAGAUUUCUUAGUGGGUAAGGCAUCUGCUGCCAGGCCACAUGGCCUGAAUUUGAUUUCCAAGACCCACAUGGUAGAAGAGGACAGAUUCCUGAAAGUUGUCCUCUGACCUGCACACAUGUGUGCUGUGGCUCAAAGCUACCCUCUCUGCAAAAUGUACAAAGUGAACAAAUAAAUCUAAAAGACAAAUAUGCAUCAGUUCUUGAAUUUUAUUGCUUGAGGCCUAAAGUC